GUACAAUGCAAACUUUAAUGUCAAUAUAUACAGAGCUUUAAAGAAAACAUUUGGUUUUAAAAUUAAAUGAAAUAAAUACAGUAUGAUACAAAAUCCACAAUAUGCUUAGAGAAAGAAAUGACAGUUACAAUAUCUGAUAACGGGGACCUUUUUGUAUAGUUUCAUCUUUGAAGUACCUCAGAGAGCAUAUAAUUCAUUGCACACCGUUUUCAAUUAAUGCCCUUUCGUAUACUGAGAUUUAUAGCCAGUCACGUGCCAGAAGAGUUUUAGCUCUAAUCAGAGUAUCAGUGCAAGAUGCCAAAGUGCUUGGGAUAUUAUGACAAUGCAAUUACUUAGCAAACGCUGCUUAUAAGCCUAAUGCAAAACACACAAAAUAGGAACACUUUGUCCUGCAAAGGAGAUCCACCUCGAGCAUCUUUUCAGUUUUCAUAUGAAAAAAAACCACAACCAAAACCAGGAUUCAAUGUUAUUCAAACUUACUAUUGGGAAUAAGCAAUUGCUCAAAUCUUAAUUAAGAUACAUAAUCAGUUAAGUAUCUUUUAAAGCUUUCAAAGAAAGUUUGCUUUCAUUACAUAGGAAAAAUCUCAAGAAAACCAGUCACCGAUUAUUUGGGGGGGGACAGUCCUAAUUACGUAAGUUAUUAUAAUUUGAGUCACCUUUAUCUAUACACUAGGAGUAGGGAUUUUUAAAUCUGUAUUCAUUCUUCUAUUCCCAAAGGAAAAUGUAGGCUUAACAACAACAUGAUUUAGGGGAAUAAAGUUUUAAAAAGCACACUGACAAACAGCAUUCUUAACUACACGGGUGUUAAAUGCAAAAGGAUGGUAUGGUAUGAACAACAGUGCAGGCAUGCUACCAACAGGUAUCAAUACAUGCCCAAGAAAGAUUUUGAAUAAACUUUCAGAUCCUUUUUUUACUUUUCAAUCACCUAGAGCUCCCAUAGGAUUACAUAAGGACUUUUAUCACAGCUUCAGAAGCCUUCUGAAAACUUUGAGAAAGAAAAACCUGCUCCUCCCUUUCCUCCCACAAAUAUUUGCAAAAUUCUGGAUAGGACUGAAAAAAACUUAAGUGCUACAGAAGUACAUAAAUCCCCAUAUUUGCAUUGAUGUUUGAGCCUGAUUUCAUUGACACAAAUCAGGAUAAUUACUAUAGCAUUGUGUAAUUCUUUUAACUCAAUUCUUACAAGCUAUCCCAACUUUUUAACUGUAACGUUUGAGGACAGAGUGCAAAGCACUGGAUGCAGCAAUCUGUCACUGCAAAAUGACCAGUUUAUAAGUAUAUUGCAAGUAACUUUAAGCUGUCCAGGAUUGUGAGAGAUAAUUUUAACUAUUGGACAUGGAAAGAUUAGCUUUGGAAAAAUGAAUUAAACCAUGGAAGACUGAAUUCAAGCUUAACAUGACUCACUUGGGUCAGGUUUUGGAUGCCUUCUCUGGAUGCAAGGAGAACAUUUAAACCAUACUACAAACAGUCCCUCUCCCUUAGACCACCGAUACCUUAGGCUCUUCACGUGGUCGAAGUGAAUAUACUAGUUUUAAGCAUAAUAGAAAAAGCCCCACACAAUAUGGUAACAGCAUUGAAACUACACAAGCCACAAAGGAGUGGCUUAAAUGAAUCCCCCUGUGGCAAUGAGUAUGGGCUCUCUUUGUUACACACCACCGGCUGACAUCGAUGCCACUGCAUAGAUUUUGGAUAUGUAACAGGAAUACAACAGAGUUACUCACUUUUUAAUCAAAGGGAUAAAUGAAGACAGAAACUGCGAUAUCCAAGGGGUGAAAGAAAAGCAAAACAUGUCACGAGCCUGCUGAUGUCUCUGGAAAUCUCCUCUCUUCAGUGAGAACAUAUCAGGCUCUACAUGCACGUGAGAACUAGCACUCAUUUAUAAUUGCCAUCACCAAACAUCAGAGCAGAAGCUAUUUUGCUGUCAGUAACAGAAACUGCAUCCAAAGUAUUAUAUCACUGAAGAUAAUAAUUAGUUCUCUGGAAAUCCCUUUGAAUACUUAGUACAUAUGCCUAUUUCUUUGUCAUUACAAGCCUGUAUAAAAAAAAAUAAAUCUACUUUUUUAAAAAAAGUAAAUCAGUAAGAUAGUAAGAUUGUAACUAGUUUGUAAUCUUGACUGUGCAGAGACGAUACAAAAGUGAAACAAUUUACACCAACCUUUUGCUCCAGCCAGGGGCAUGUUUGAAUUGAAAGAACACUUAAUUUGAACAUUUAAGUGAUUACUCACAAGCAGACCAAGUACUUUUAUACGAUUACUUAACUGAACAAAACCCAUGUUUGGGAAAAAAAAAAAAAGCAUGAGAAGUAUGCAAGAAAUUAAAAAAGAAGUAUCACAAAGGAGAGGAUCAUUAAAUACUAUGGAGUUAAGAGUAAGCUGCAAGGGAACUCUUUUGUAUCCCUGCAUAUCCAAAAUGCUUCAAAGACUGAUAUGCUGAAAUAUUCAUAGCAAGUGAACUUCCCCCUCAAAUUAAGAAUUAAAACUGGCAUACCAGGGUACACCGGCCUGUCAGAUAUAACAAAGGUGUUUUUCUACACGUUUUCCUUGUGAUGAGACAACUUUGUAAUGUAGCAGUCACUGAAACCUUGUUUUUACCCCAGGAGUACCACUUGCACUAAAGGCUAGUAAUGACAGAAAAACAGCAGGGACUACUUUAUAGCAGAUGUUUUAAGUUCUUUGCUACGAAUGAGAACAUCCAUCUUGUUUGUGUACUUUCCCCUUACCACCUAUGUGUUGCACACCAAGAACUUAAGUACCUUCAGCUGCUUACAACUCCUUUUGUGCAAAAUGCUUUUAAGGUGCUUAUAAUGUGGUGCUUCUAAGCAAGCUAAAAGAAAAUACCAAUAUAAACACUGUUAAAUGAUUCAUGAAUAAAGCCAUUAAAGACCAGCUGCUGCCUUACAGGAAAGGUGAAGACAAUUCAGGUUUGACAUUUUAGUUGUGUUCCACAUCUUGCAUUACCCUCUAUCCCUAACAGUUUUUACUACUACAAUUCAACCCACAUUAUACCUUGACCUUAGCUCAGGGGGCUUUAUUUCCACCACUUUGUUGGGGUUUUUUUUUUUUCCUCUCUCCCUUUUUUUUUUUUUUUCUUUUUUUAGAGUGAAUCCAUAUUCUUCUGACAGCCAAUUGUAAAUUUACAAAAAAAUUUAUACCAAUAGACUGAAGACAAGAGGCUUAGAGCCAUUCUUGCUGGCAAAGGUCUUCAGUAAUGAAAAGAAGGAUGAACCAGCUGCAUAAGGGGCAGAUUUCGUACUAAACAAUUAAGCUUUCCAGGCAGCAGUUGUGUUCUUUGAUAAGCUUUCAAGCAUUUCAAACAGGCACCUCAAAACUAGGCACAAAUGGCCCCUAAAGCUUCCAACAUCUAUCAAACACUCAAGAAAUUUAGUAUGGGGUAUGUUCUGCAUGAUACAAAUAGCACACCUAUGUUUGCUAUAUUCAUUAAGUCUCAAAUCUACAUAUAGUUUUACCUAACUAUUUGGCCAGAUAACUUCCAUCUUUCCCCACCGCAACAGAAGAAAGCAGCUUAUCUAAUAGUACUUCCAAUGCCACCAAGUACUUCACAGGUACAAGCAAAAACCAGCCAGCA
ensembl:lncRNA